rnacentral:rRNA from 1 species
GGACGCAUCACUGGUGUUCGGGUUGUCAUGCCAAUGGCACUGCCCGGUAGCUAAAUGCGGAAGAGAUAAGUGCUGAAAGCAUCUAAGCACGAAACUUGCCCCGAGAUGAGUUCUCCCUGAGACUUUAAGUCUCCUGAAGGAACGUUGAAGACGACGACGUUGAUAGGCCGGGUGUGUAAGCGCAGCGAUGCGUUGAGCUAACCGGUACUAAUGAACCGUGAGGCUUAACCUUACAACGCCGAAGAUGGUUU